rnacentral:rRNA from 1 species
GAUGAACGCUGGCGGCGUGCUUAACACAUGCAAGUCGAACGAUGAAGCCCAGCUUGCUGGGUGGAUUAGUGGCGAACGGGUGAGUAACACGUGAGUAACCUGCCCUUGACUCUGGGAUAAGCCUGGGAAACUGGGUCUAAUACUGGAUAUGACUUCUCAUCGCAUGGUGGGGGGUGGAAAGAUUUAUUGGUCUUGGAUGGACUCGCGGCCUAUCAGCUUGUUGGUGAGGUAAUGGCUCACCAAGGCGACGACGGGUAGCCGGCCUGAGAGGGUGACCGGCCACACGGGGACUGAGAGACGGCCCAGACUCGUACGGGAGGCAGCAGUGGGGAAUAUUGCACAAUGGGCGCAAGCCUGAUGCAGCGACGCCGCGUGAGGGAUGACGGCCUUCGGGUUGUAAACCUCUUUCAGUAGGGAAGAAGCGAGAGUGACGGUACCUGCAGAAGAAGCGCCGGCUAACUACGUG